AAAGACUUGGGAAGACACACACUGAGGAUGGCGGAGCUGAAGAUGCAAGGAGCCUGACCCCAGCAUCCUGGCUCCGAGAGCCUGAUGAGCAGAAACAUGUUUUGUUGGACUUUAUGAAAAUGAGGACGUCUACCAGGAUGCUGUGUCAAAUAAAUGUAAACCACCAGUCUGACAUCCAAGAAAGACACUUACAAGAAAAAUAAGUCUUCAAUGACGUUUUAACACGUCUACCUCAUAGCAGAACAGACUGUAUAAUGAGAAGGUUUUCCCUGGAGAGAACAGAUGCCAAAACGUGGAAAACGGACACGAUGGCCUUUCUUUUAUGACUUACUCGAUGGACACAACCAUUCGAUUACAGGUAUUACACUCUUUUGGACUCAUGUACGUAACACCUAAUCCUUGGUAACUGUUUGUUAUUGUGUAAUGCCUGUUUGUUAUUUGUUCAAUUUGAUCUCAAAGAUAGCAUGCUCACGAGAGGAUGUAUAAUGUAGGGCACAUGAUAAGGUUUUUUACUGCCAAGCCCCAAAUGACCACUAUUUCCUGUACUCAUUAUUUGUUCAUUAAACAUUUUUUGAGGCCCUAUGAUAGACAGAAACUGUGCCAGAGGCCAGGGCUACGAAGAUGUACGAUGCCCUUGUUGGGCUCAUGUUCCACUGGGGAGAUGUAAACAUAAUGGGCAAUGCUGGGGCACAGUACAGACGAGGAACACAGGGCCUCGAACCACCUGAGACAAGGGACUCUGACAAGUUAGUUGCCCACCUUCACAACACUUGUAACUGGCCAAGGAAGUAUUUGCGGUCUGAUUUCAAAGCCACCAAUACCCCCAGUGCCACUUUGUGGUGACGGGCCCACUCCUGCCUGUGCCUGCUCCAGGUGGGGUGAUGCUGCAGGCGGGGGUGGUGCUGCUAUACAGGCAGAUCUCAGGGUAGCUCUGUCCAAAAGCCGGCAUCCAAGCCUAGCUCC